rnacentral:rRNA from 1 species
CAGCCGCGGCGGGAAUACAGAGGGUGCGAGCGUUAAUCGGAUUUACUGGGCGUAAAGCGUGCGUAGGCGGCUUUUUAAGUCGGAUGUGAAAUCCCUGAGCUUAACUUAGGAAUUGCAUUCGAUACUGGGAAGCUAGAGUAUGGGAGAGGAUGGUAGAAUUCCAGGUGUAGCGGUGAAAUGCGUAGAGAUCUGGAGGAAUACCGAUGGCGAAGGCAGCCAUCUGGCCUAAUACUGACGCUGAGGUACGAAAGCAUGGGGAGCAAACAGGAUUAGAUACCCGUGUAGUCCCUGUCUCUUAUAC